rnacentral:lncRNA from 1 species
CGUCUUUCUUAUCUUGGCGUUGCCCAGCCCAGUUCAGUGCACUGCAAAAAAGGGGGCACAAGGCAUGAGUGUGUGUGGAUGAGACACGGCCAUAGUCGGAUUUAGGUUCAUUCUAAAAGUGAUCUAUCUGGAUUUGGACAACGAAACAAACACCUGCCUUAAAGCAAGUAAUACGCUGAGAAUAAGCGAUUCUGUAGCUACAAAUCAAGCCGAUUUCCAAACUACCUGCAAGUUGAGUGUAACUGAGCACCUGCGAAUUUGUACAAAGUGCUUACAUGGUGCCUGGCACACACAGUCACUGCUCCAUGAAAGUGAGCCGUUUUUAUCACCAACAGCAUGUCAUGCUUCCUGACGGAAAAUCGACUUGCCGGGGUGCAGAGGGGAGGCCAAGGCAGCAGGAGCGCGCACGUGGCAGGAAGCGGACCGCUGCUGGGCACCGCAGCAGGGCUGUGGCCAUGGAAACCGCUCUCCAACUGUCUCGGGCUCCACCACGGCAACCAACGCGAAAUGUGAAAUGCGCUGCGGCUGCAGGAGCGCGCGCGGCCAGCAGAGGGCGCCCGCGCCACACCUCGCGGAGGCCUCCCCAGAGGGGCUGGAGUGGAGGCAGAGCCACAACCGGGAAGCGCACUUCAGGGAACCGCACUUAGGGUCCGAUGGGAAGGAGAAUGGAGACCAUCAGGUCGGAAGACACUCCCCCCACUAACUGAGAACUGAUGCCUGAAUUCUCCUUUUCCACCAAUGAGAUCGAAGAAACAAGUUUCUGGACAACUAGAUUCUGGCUAGGGAUGACGCACGGGGAGGGGGUCCACCAGGGCUCCUCACGUGGCAACCCGAAAUAAUCGCCCAGGCCAGGGUUUCCAGAACAACGUUCAUUUUCCGUAAUUUUCUCAUUUUCAAUAAAGGCAUAAUCUUUAAAUGUGAAA